UACGGAGGGUGCGAGCGUUGUCCGGAAUCAUUGGGCGUAAAGGGCGCGUAGGUGGCGGGACAAGCGUGCGGUGAAAGCCUGGGGCUCGAACCCCGGGUCCGGCCGUGCGAACUGUUUUGCUUGAGCACUGUAGAGGCAGGCGGAAUUCCGGGUGUAGCGGUGGAAUGCGUAGAGAUCCGGAAGAACACCGGUGGCGAAGGCGGCCUGCUGGGCAGUAGCUGACACUGAGGCGCGACAGCGUGGGGAGCAACAGG
rnacentral:rRNA from 1 species